AUUGAACGCUGGCGGCAUGCCUUACACAUGCAAGUCGAACGGUAACAGGUCUUCGGAUGCUGACGAGUGGCGAACGGGUGAGUAAUACAUCGGAACGUGCCCGAUCGUGGGGGAUAACGAAGCGAAAGCUUUGCUAAUACCGCAUACGAUCUACGGAUGAAAGCGGGGGAUCUUCGGACCUCGCGCGGACGGAGCGGCCGAUGGCAGAUUAGGUAGUUGGUGGGAUAAAAGCUUACCAAGCCGACGAUCUGUAGCUGGUCUGAGAGGAUGAUCAGCCACACUGGGACUGAGACACGGCCCAGACUCCUACGGGAGGCAGCAGUGGGGAAUUUUGGACAAUGGGCGAAAGCCUGAUCCAGCCAUGCCGCGUGCAGGAUGAAGGCCUUCGGGUUGUAAACUGCUUUUGUACGGAACGAAAAGCCUCUUUCUAAUAAAGAGGGGUCAUGACGGUACCGUAAGAAUAAGCACCGGCUAACUACGUG
rnacentral:rRNA from 1 species